GGAUGACCUGCUUGCUGGGCUACCCAUUACUGAUUCUUGAGCUGAUCGAAAUCAACCAUUCUGAGUUAGUUCUCUUGGUUAGGGAGUUAUUUGGGUGGUAACGAAGCAGUGGACCAGGCAAUCAAUCGAGCACACCAUUGAGACAUGGAUCAACCUCCACUGAUUGACGGAGUAGUGCUGACUAAGAUUGACACCAUUGAUGAUAAAGGCGCCAGCACCAGAGGGCUCCAUCGUUGCCUACUGAGCGGAGACCUUAGCGAUGAGAAGGCCAAUCAGAUCAUUGCGUCAGUCGGCAUCCCUUACGCUCAUCUCAAGUCACUCCAGAUCACACUGUCAAACAAGUUGAAGGAGCACACUGUGAGGGCUGAGAAACAGUCAACCUCCUUGCCUUGCUGGAUAAUUGCACCCAGUCUGCCUGUAUAACCAAAGACAUCUGUCUACAGAUGUAUGAGCAUGAUGCUCGUAUCAGCCCAGCUCGCUCACUGCGUGCCCUCUUCGGUAGUGGCUACUACAAGGCAUCUGACAGUCGUGUGACCGGGGUAUAUGAAUUAUCGCUGCGUCAUUUGGUAGAAGCUCUGAGCCCAGGUCUUGACCCACAAGACGUACGGUGACUGGUGCUGCCAU